rnacentral:misc_RNA from 1 species
GAUGAAGAACGCAGCGAAAUGCGAUACGUAGUGUGAAUUGCAGAAUUCCGUGAACCAUCGAAUCUUUGAACGCAAAUUGCGCUCGAGGCCUCGGCCAAGAGCAUGUCUGCCUCAGCGUCGGCUACUACCCUCAACUAAGUUUCCUAUACACAUAGGGGAUGCCGGUUGGAUCUGGCCGUCCGGUUUGCCUUUUAGGUUGCCGGUCAGCUGAAAUACAUUCACGCUCUGGGGGCUGCUUUCCUUCCGAGGAGAGGCGAGUUCCGAUUUGGUAGGUGACCUUUGCCGGUUGCAUGCCUUCGUUGCCCGCUAAGCUUUCCAGUAUGCGUUGUGCAGGACGCCCUUUGGCUUUCGACCUGAGGUCAGGCAAGAACACCCGCUGAACUUAAGCAUAUCAAUAAGCGGAGGA